GGAUUAGAUACCCUGGUAGUCCUAGCUGUAAACGAUGGAUACUAGACGUAGGAACUGGAUUGACGGUUUCUGUGUCGCAGCUAACGCGUUAAGUAUCCCGCCUGGGGAGUACGGUCGCAAGACUAAAACUCAAAGGAAUUGACGGGACCCCGCACAAGCGGCGGAGCAUGUUGCUUAAUUCGAGGCAACGCGAAGAACCUUACCUGGACUUGACAUAUAGGGUCUAGCUAUAGAGAUAUAGUGUGCUUUAGCGCCCUAUACAGGUGGUGCAUGGCUGUCGUCAGCUCGUGCUG
rnacentral:rRNA from 1 species